CCUGUAAAUGACAAGCAGGUGGAACGUGAAUGUGUGGGAAACGUAAAGGUUUGUUAUGUGAUGAAAAUGAACGAAAUGCUUUUCAAGCAACUGCAGAGUUUCCAGGUGAGAUUGUGGGUGAAACGCACCUGGUCAGGAUGCCAACCACACAGCCUUGGAACUUUACCUACUGCGGGAAGAGCUCCACCUCACUGACGGAGAAGGUGAAUAAGCGACGAGAAAAGCAGUGGUCCUCAGAGCUGCUUAAACAUUGAGGCUGAUGUCGGCAAACCAAGCCUUAGUCGGCUCCCAAUACUACAAUUCAUAUAGUGGGUUACGUGUAGAAUACCGACUCAAUUACCAUAUAUGCUUUUUAUAUAGAAAUAAUUUUAAUUCACAAGCCGUAUGUAUGCAGUGGGUAAAUGCUACAUGAUAAAUUUUGCAAAGGUUAGGCCUAUACCUCAAACUAACCAUUGUAAUUCACUACUAAUGAAACUCAAGCAUUUCAACUUUUUCUGUGACUUUAAAUGUAUGUUACAAAUUGCCUGGGUCAUGUGACCCCUGAGUUUAUGUAGCAGGCAGUCAACCACAUUCUGUGUGAUUCUGAUCAGUGCUGCUUUGCAUUGAGGUGUGCAGUUGUGAUAUUUGUGAGUAAAAUAACUCAAACAUCUUCUGAGGAUAAACAUGUAAAGAACAACUAGUCUUCACAAUGUACUAGUAAAGAUAGCAACACCUCUAGCCAGUAUUCAUCACCCUGGUGCAGUGCUGGUGGACAAUUUUACAAAUAAAUAUAUAUAAUAUUCUUGACGUA